rnacentral:rRNA from 1 species
UCGAGGAUCUUCGGCAAUGGGCGCAAGCCUGACCGAGCGACGCCGCGUGUGCGAUGAAGGCCUUCGGGUUGUAAAGCACUGUCGGAGGGAAGAAAAGCCGCAAGGCGUGAUCGACCCUCGGAGGAAGCACGGGCUAAGUUCGUGCCAGCAGCCGCGGUAAGACGAACCGUGCAAACGUUGUUCGGAAUCACUGGGCUUAAAGGGCGCGUAGGCGGGCAGGCAAGUCGGAGGUGAAAGCCCACGGCUCAACCGUGGAAGUGCCCCCGAUACUGCUUGUCUGGAGGGAGGUAGGGGCGUGCGGAACUUCCGGUGGAGCGGUGAAAUGCGUAGAUAUCGGAAGGAACACCGGUGGCGAAAGCGGCGCGCUGGACCUUUACUGACGCUGAGGCGCGAAAGCCAGGGGAGCAAACGGGAUUAGAUACCCGCGUAGUCC